GCUCCUGCCGUAGCGUUGCCACGGCGUUGGUUGGAAUUUGGGGUCGUGGUUAGGGUGUGCUGCCGGCACUGAAAUCUGCAAUUUGUUACUCGUCCAACUGUCCAAGCGACUCCGAUGCCUGUUGUGCAUGAGCGCAGAGAUCAGGGAUUGGAUUAUUUUACUAUAGAUCAAAUGACAUCCGAAUGUGCCUGGAAUUUGUUUUUGCUGAACCAGGAAUGCACCAGGAAUACAUACAGCAUCUCUGCUCUGCCUAUGGAAAAGGAUUGAACACCACUAAAUCCUUCUUUCCCACCCAAUGUCAAUCGGUAGGGGCUGUCCCGCGUGGCGUUCCUCCAUGGAAGCAUCCAACAGCAACCAAGGACCAGACCAUCUCAUUGUUCUGGUUCAUGGUAUCAUGGCAAGCCCCAGUGACUGGAUAUAUGGGGACACAGUGCUGAAAAGGAGGCUAGGUGAUGAUUUCUUCAUCAAUGCUAGUUCAUCAAACAUCGACGCUAAAACUUUUGACGGGAUCGAUGUAGCUGGAAGGAGGUUAGCGAAAGAAGUAUAUGUGGUAGAGACUAUUCUCUGUUGUUCAUGUAUAUAUUGACUGCUUAGGAAGCUUACAUAAUAAUGCCCUAUGGAAAGAAGGUCUUGGACGUGGUUCAGAAGAUGCCCAGCUUGAACAAGAUUUCCUUCAUAGUACAUUCUUUGGGUGGUGUGUUUGCUAGAUAUGCUAUUUCUAUACUAUAUUCACUGCAAGCAAAAGAAACGGGAAGCGGUGUUGGUGUCAUGCCGACAGUUAGAGGAUCUGAAAUGUCACACACUUCAGGAAUAGUGUCUUUCAAUGGUAACAAAUCAUCGAAGGCAUGAAACGAAUUUGUGUCUUUAUUAAACAGGGCAUCUCUGUGUGUGUGUGUGUGUGUGUCUGAACAAUGCAUCUCUCUUUUUAUGCAUAUGUAAUCACGUUAGAUAGAUCGAUUAUGCCACCAGAUCCGUUCUUACCGCCAAACAACUCAGUUGCUAGCGGACUGAUUUACAGGUUAACUAUUGCCCAGAGACGGGUGAUGCAUCGUGAAUCGGGUUAAAAACUCAAAAGUAGUGCUCUAAUCCAUCGAGGUUAAGGCAAGCAUCAUGCACUUUUAGGCGUGCGGACAAGCGCUGCAAGCCCCAAUGCCUGCUUGCACGUUACUUGAUUCUUUGAUUGAUUCCAUGAACCUUUUGGGAGCAACACAACACACGCGAUGAAGCCAAAUUAACACACGCGCAUUGGGUGAACGGCCUCACGUGUCGUACACGCAUAACCACGUACGUGCACGUGACGACUAACAGCUUUAGACUCGAUGCAUGCAUCGGCGUGUUUGAAAUCACCCAAACGAGUAGAGUGUUGAGUGACUGCAAAUCGUAUCCAGAGAGUAUAGUAGAGUACUUGCUGCUUCUUUUCUUGGUGAGUACUUGCUGCUUCUUUUCUUGGUCUCUGGAUCUCUGCGGCGACUACGGUGGCCUUUUCCCAAUCUGCGAUGCCGACAGCGCCGAAGAUGCUCUUCUUCAACGUGUGCUCUUGAAUCUUGAUUGAGCCAAGCGAGAACCGGAUUCAUCUUUGGUAACUGUUGCAAAGGACGACUCCACAAAUUGGAUCUGGAGAGAUGCUAUUCAGGAGUUUCAACCCAAGGGCAAUGCUAUAGCGGUGUGUUGAUCUAGAGAAAACACAAAUAAAGGUCGAGAUAUGGAGGUUGCUGCUGGGGCCAUGGGCCCUGUCAUCCGUAAGCUCGGUGAGCUGCUCGUCCGAGAAUGCAAUCUGAAGAAGCGAGUAAAGAAAGGCGUCCAAUCGCUCCUAACAGAGCUGGAGAUGAUGCACGCCGUACUUCGCAAGGUUGGCGAGGUGCCACCGGACCAGCUCGAGGAGCCGGUCCGUAUUUGGGCUGGCAAGGUGAGAGACCUCUCAUGCGACAUGGAAGAUGCUGUUGACGACUUCAUGGUGCGUGUGGAUGAGGGUUCAAGCAGCAAGCCAACGGACAUGAGGAGUCGAGUCAAAAAGUUCCUCAAGAAGACCACCACAUUGUUUGGCAAGGGCAAAGCACUUCAUCAAAUCUGUGAUGCCAUCGAAGAAGCUCAGGAUCUUGCCAAACAGUUGGCGGACCUGAGUAAAAGGUACGAUGUUGACAUGCGUAGCACUAGUAAUGGUGCUACCAUUGACCCUCGUGUGUUAGCUCUGCACAAAGAUGUAGGGGAGCUUGUUGGCGUUGACCGCACAAGGGAUGAGCUUAUCAAAACACUGAAUUCUGAGGGCGGGAGUUCUAAGGAGCAAUGGAAGACAAUCUCAAUUGUUGGUGUUGGUGGGCUAGGCAAGACUACACUCACCAAAGCAAUUUAUGAGAAGAUCAAAGCCCAAUUUCAGUGUGCGGCUUUUGUCCCCGUAGGUCAGAACCCAGAUAUCAAGAAAGUUUUCAAGGACUUACUCUAUGGCCUUGACAAAGUAAAGUUUCAUGACAUUCAUAAUGCAACAAAGGGUGCUAAUCUACUCAUUGAGGAUAUCAGUGAAUUCCUUGUUGAUAAGAGGUACCUCAUCGUAAUCGACGAUAUAUGGGAAGAAGACAUAUGGAAAUAUAUAGAAUGUGCUCUCUACAAAAAUAAACUCCAGAGUCGGGUAAUCACAACAACCCGUAGUGUGAGUGUGUCUGAAGCAUGUCUCAAUUCCACUAAUGGCACAAUUCAUAGAAUGAAACCUCUUUCUGAUGAAGACUCGCAAAUACUCUUCCAUAGAAGAAUAUUUCAAAGCGAGGAGAAAUGUCCAGAAGAUUUGCAGAUAGUAUCAAGAGAUAUAUUGAGAAAAUGUGGUGGUGUACCAUUAGCCAUCAUUACAAUAGCUAGUCUUCUGGUUAGUGGCCAUAGGAUAAAGCAAAAAGAGGAAUGGAUGCAUGUGCACAAUUCGAUGGGACGUGGAGUUACACAAGGUGGUGUUGUGAAGGACAUGAAGAGGAUAUUAUCACUCAGCUAUUAUGAUUUGCCUCUUUAUCUGAAGCCUUGUUUAUUAUAUCUAAGCAUCUUUCCUGAAGACUUUGAGAUUGAGAGAGAGUGGUUGAUAUGGAGGUGGCUUGCCGAAGGUUUUAUCCAGUGUGUCAAAAAAGAAACCAGGCUAUUUGAGAUUGGAGAGAGCUACUUUAACGAGCUCAUGAAUAGGAGCUUGAUCCAGCCAGCAGAAAUCGAUAGGGAAGGAACGGUAGUAACUUUCCGUAUACAUGAUAUGGUGCUUGAUCUUAUCUGCUCACUGUCAAGUGAAGAGAAUUUUAUCUCCAUAUUGGAUAAUGCUGAGUGGCAUGCACCUAACCUGCAAAGGAAAUUUCGCAGGCUAUCACUUCAUAAUAUCAAGGGAAAGGUUCAGAACAGUCAGUUUGAUAGGACGUGCCUGUCAAAAGUGAGGACCUUUGCUGUUUUUUCUCCUGUUGCUUGUGAUUGGUUGCCAUAUCUCUCAAGCUUCCAAUUUUUACGCGUGCUGGAUCUUGGAAAUUGUGGCAGCCGGGAAGGUAGCUCUGGUAUCAGCCUCAAGUAUGUAGGGAAUUUAAUUCACCUAAGGUACCUAGGGAUAAAGAAUACUGAUGUUCAGGAACUCCCAUUGGACAUAGGCAAAUUGCAGCUUUUGCAAACAUUGGAUACAAGAGGCACUAGGAUACAAAAAUUACCUGCAAGUGUUGUUCAGCUCAGAAAUUUGAUAUGCCUAUACGUGGACUUGGUGCUGCCAAGAGGAAUGGGGAACUUGACGUCCCUCGAAGUGCUGGACAGUGUAAAAUUAUCCUGGUCUCCUCACAUUGUAAAAGAGCUGAGCCAUCUGACAGAGCUUAGGACAUUCAGUAUUAACUGUGCUAACAUGGACGGGGAUUGGAUUGAUAUACUAAUCAAGUCUCUAGGCAACCUGUAGAAAUUGCAUAAUCUGCGUAUUCUUUAUGGUGGCAGAUUGAUAGAUCGCAUGCGUGAAAGCUGGGUGCCCCCUCCACACCUCCGUAGUUUUGGGUCACAUAGUUUCUUUGAAAUUGGAUGGUUCUCGAUACUUCCAAAUUGGGUUAACUCAAAGUCACUUCCCCACCUCUCCACCCUGAAAAUAGAAGUGCAAGAACUUCAACGGAAUGACAUUCAGAUCAUCGGGAUGCUGCCUGCUCUUCGGUCUCUGCAGCUGCGUGCAAGUUGCGUGAUGGGAAUGUUGGUUGUGAGGGCCGAUGCAUUUCCAUCCGCGAGAUACUGCUCAUUCUAUGGGUUUCUGACUUCGCCGUGCCUUUUUCCGCCUGGAGCUAUGCCAAGGGUUCAGCGCCUUGGGUUCGAGGACACUGUAGAGUCGAUCGCGAGUGGUGAGGUUGACUGCAGCAUGGGGCACCUCCCUUCUCUCGAGCAUGUUCAGGUUUUUCUGGAGCGUGAGAAUUCCAGCGAUGAAGACAUGGAGACAGCCAAGGCUUUGCUGAGGCGCGCAGCAGAAACCCAUCCAAAACGUCCCACCAUUCAAAUCCAGGACUGUAUUUGAAUGCUGACAUGCCUUUGCCGCCAGUAAGGGCUUCAACACAAUCCCGGAGUCAGGUGCUAGUAAUUCCAUCAGUUGUCGUGGAUGCUGUUCCAACAUUUCGGUAGGCAACAAACAAUUCACUGUGCCGUUGCAGUCACCAACAACUUACUGUACCACCACAACUCCCAAUAAACGAAAGCUAAUUCCCUCCAACAUAUGUUCGGAUUCUGUCCUUUGCUAAACGGAGGCUUUGGCGUGAUUGCUCAUGAUGAACUGUUUAUUUCUCCUGCAUUUGCUUUCAGAAACACAACACCUCCUUUCCUUUAUUCAGUCAAGACUCGUACAAUAAAGGCUUGCAUUCAGUUGGCAUUAUUUUUAGCAGUAUUUGAU